rnacentral:rRNA from 1 species
UACAGAGGGGGCAAGCGUUAUUCGGAAUUAUUGGGCGUAAAGCGCACGUAGGCGGCUUUGCAAGUUAGAGGUGAAAGCCCAGGGCUCAACCCUGGAAUUGCCUUUAAAACUGCAUCGCUAGAAUUGUGGAGAGGUAAGUGGAAUUCCGAGUGUAGAGGUGAAAUUCGUAGAUAUUCGGAAGAACACCAGUGGCGAAGGCGACUUACUGGACACAUAUUGACGCUGAGGUGCGAAAGCGUGGGGAGCAAACAGG